rnacentral:rRNA from 1 species
UAACUUAGUGGCGGACGGGUGAGUAACGCGUGGGUAACCUGCCGUAUACAGGGGGAUAACACUUAGAAAUAGGUGCUAAUACCGCAUAAGCGCACGGUUCCGCAUGGGACAGUGUGAAAAACCGAGGUGGUAUACGAUGGACCCGCGUCUGAUUAGCCAGUUGGCAGGGUAACGGCCUACCAAAGCGACGAUCAGUAGCCGGCCUGAGAGGGCGGACGGCCACAUUGGGACUGAGACACGGCCCAAACUCCUACGGGAGGCAGCAG